UUUAAAGAAAGCGUAACAGCUCACUGGUCUAAAUAAGGGUUCCUGCGGCGAAGAUGUAACGGGGCUAAAGAUAUGCACCGAAGCUUAGGGUUCAGAAUUUAUUCUGAGCGGUAGCGGAGCGUUCCGUAAGCGAGCGAAGGAGAAGGGUAACCGACUCUGGACGUAUCGGAAGUGCGAAUGCUGACAUGAGUAGCGACAAAGAGGGUGAGAUGCCCUCUCGCCGAAAGACCAAGGGUUCCUGCGCAACGCUAAUCGGCGCAGGGUUAGCCGGCCCCUAAGACGAGCCCGAAGGGGGUAGUCGAUGGGAACCACGUAAAUAUUCGUGGGCCUGAAGAUGUGUGACGGAUCGUGGAAGUUGUUUUCUCUUAUUGGAUUGAGAGGGCAGCCAAGCGGUUCCAGGAAAUAGCCUCUUCAUAUAGACCGUACCCGAAACCGACACAGGUGGUCAGGUAGAGUAUACCAAGGCGCUUGAGAGAAGUAUCCUGAAGGAACUCGGCAAAUUGCCUCCGUACCUUCGGAAGAAGGAGGCCCCAUAUCGACGCAAGUCUUUGUGGGGGGCACAGGCCAGGGGGUAGCGACUGUUUAGCAAAAACACAGCACUCUGCUAAGUCGGCUUCAAGACGACGUAUAGGGUGUGACGCCUGCCCGGUGCUCGAAGGUUAAGAGGAGGAGUGCAAGCUCCGAAUUGAAGCCCGAGUAAACGGCGGCCGUAACAAUAACGGU
rnacentral:rRNA from 14 species